AGUGAACGCUGGCGGUAGGCCUAACACAUGCAAGUCGAACGGCAGCACAGUAAGAGCUUGCUCUUACGGGUGGCGAGUGGCGGACGGGUGAGGAAUACAUCGGAAUCUACUUUUUCGUGGGGGAUAACGUAGGGAAACUUACGCUAAUACCGCAUACGACCUACGGGUGAAAGCAGGGGAUCUUCGGACCUUGCGCGAUUGAAUGAGCCGAUGUCGGAUUAGCUAGUUGGCGGGGUAAAGGCCCACCAAGGCGACGAUCCGUAGCUGGUCUGAGAGGAUGAUCAGCCACACUGGAACGGAGACACGGUCCAGACUCCUACGGGAGGCAGCAGUGGGGAAUAUUGGACAAGGGGCGCAAGCCUGAUCCAGCCAUACCGCGUGGGUGAAGAAGGCCUUCGGGUUGUAAAGCCCUUUUGUUGGGAAAGAAAAGAAGCAGGUUAAUACCCCGCUGUUCUGACGGUACCCAAAGAAUAGGCACCGGCUAACUUCG
rnacentral:rRNA from 1 species